rnacentral:misc_RNA from 1 species
GUAGGUGAACCUGCGGAAGGAUCAUUAGUGAAUUUUAGGGCAUCUACUCGAUAGAGCCUGACCUCCACUUUCUAACUCUGUGCACUCAUUUGGCGGAAGGAUAUUGGGCAAACUUGCUUGCAAGGAGGCUCUCUAGACAUCUGCGGCUUACUUUAAACAUUAGUCAAAGUAUGUAACGAAAUAUAAAAACAAAAACUUUCAACAACGGAUCUCUUGGCUCUCGCAUCGAUGAAGAACGCAGCAUCUGACU